CCUGUCCUAUAGGAAUGACAGGAGGUUUGGUUUAUAUGUUGAAUUCAAUAAAAACUCACAAAGUAUAAAACAAAGAGUUUAACAAAGAAGCUACGGAUGGAUAUUGGUUACAAAAUGACCCACAAUAGUCCGGUAACGCAGGUGUAAUAGCCGCUCUUCAGCGGACUCUUGGUCACUAUUAGGACGGCUUUACCCUCGUAUUGUAGUUUAUUUAUUUGAACCAAUAUCCUUUAUCGCACAAAUCAUAGAGAACGUAUUACAGAGUGAUGUUAUGGAGAUACAGUUACACCCUUUAUAUGCCAUGGCCUGGACACUGUUAUUAGUGAAAUGUGAUGUCAUAGUUACACAUUCCGUACUUACUACUGCUCCAAGGCUGCAGCAGGUCACUGCACCCCUGACCAUCCAGAACAUCAGACGUGUCUUGCUUCAGAAAAAUGGCAGAAAAGAUGGAUUUUAUCCAGGUCUGUGCCCAAAGCAUGGCCCGCUUUUACACCAGCGUUGUCCUGGCAUUUGACGAAGUGGAAGACAGCAUCAGGAGCGUACAAUACCAUCGCAGACUGAAAAAGAUGGAGAAAAAGAGAAAUAAGACCAAGACUCCACGCCUCUCAUGGGGCAACUCAUGGGGCAAUGACAACGCCUAUGAGAGGUUGAUUUAAAAAAAAAAAAAAACAUCAAAACAAAAAACCAUAAAAAAAAUAACCAGCAUCAAAAAAUAAAAUAAAAAUAUCAAUGGGGGGGGUAUUGUCGUACUGAGGUGGAUGUUGAGGGCAGCUGUGAUCAUGUGGUAAUUUUCUUGACUCUAGGAGAGGCUGGUAGACUGGAGGAAGUGUUGGUACUUACCUUAGGUGUAACUGUGGGGAGUAAACCCUUUGUUACCCAUUUAUUUGGUAACUCCCCUCAGCUACACCUAAGGCAAGUACCAACACUUCCUCCAGUCUGCCAUAUUUCUUCUGGCCUUUCAUAGAGCUUUACCACAUGAUCACAGCUGACCUCAACAUGCAUCUCAGUACGGCAAUUCCCCUCCCAUUGACUCACAUGGAUUGUAAUGUCAUUCUGACCUGGGUGCCUGUGGCUGGGCAAUGUCAGGGGAAACAACACAUUCAGCCUGCCCAAAGACCGUCACUUCUUUGCCACUUAUCCAGCUGAGGAAUGUGAGCAAGCCACCAGGACCAGUUGCAGCUGCUUCAAAUCUGAGGCCUUUCCACCUCCCGCAGCUGAAACCAGGAAGUCCAUCUGAUGCUCCGGCACUCAAAAUGAAGACCAGCACCCCCUGAGGUUUCAUGUCAUCAAGAAACUGUGACAUACAUGAACCAGGACAGUUAUGUGGUCUGGAAGUUUAUUACAUCAUUCCAAUUCAUGCAACAACAAAAUAUAUAGAAAAAUAAAACAAAAUAAAACUCUAGCUCUU